ACAAGUACCGUGAGGGAAAGUUGCAAAGCACUUUGAAGAGAGAGUUAAAGAGGACGUGAAACUGGCACGAUGGAAACGGAUAGAGCUAGCGAACUCGUUCGUAUUCAGCCAACGGUUCUGGGUUCGGUCUUGUUGUGUUUCAGUUUUGUGCACGCAGGAUCGAGCGCCUGGGUUCCAAGGUGCAUUUGCGGACGAUUGCGCCGAGACUUGUGGGGCAGCGGUAGGACCCGGUUCAUGAGGCCUCCUUUUGGUUGUACCCUGAACUGGUAUACGACUGUUUGCUCUGCUCGUAAUGUUGGUUCGGCCUCGGGUGAAACUGCCGUUGGCGUUCUCUUGUGGUGGCAACAGCACGCUUUGCCUAACUUGGGGAUUCCGGCUGCGGUGGAGCUCUCGAACUGUCUCUCGGUGUAAAAGCUGGUCAUCUAUCCGACCCGUCUUGAAACACGGACCAAGGAGUUUAGCGUAUGUGCGAGCCACUGGGUAUUGCAAAACCUAUGGGCACAAUGAAAGUGAAGGCUCGGUCGCCGAGCUUACAUGCGACCGUGCUAGCUUCGGCUGGUGCGGGCAGCAUGGUCCCGUUUCAGUCGCUUGCGACGGAGCGGAGACAGAGUGCAUGCGCUGAGACCCGAAAGAUGGUGAACUAUUCCUGAGCAGGACGAAGCCAGAGGAAACUCUGGUGGAAGUCCGAAGCGAUUCUGACGUGCAAAUCGAUCGUCUGACCUUGGGUAUAGGGGCGAAAGACUAAUCGAACCAUCUAGUAGCUGGUUCCUUCCGA
rnacentral:rRNA from 1 species